UCUCCAUCAUCCCCAUCCUCAUCCUCAUCCCCAUGGUCUCCACCCCCAUGGUCUCCAACCCCAUCUCCAUCAUCCCCGUUCUCCUCAUCCCCAUGGUCUCCACCUCCGUUUCCAUCAUCCUCCUCAUCCCCAUGGUCUCCAUCCCCAUGGUCUCCAUCCCCAUCCUCAUACUCAUGGUCCCCAUUUCCAUGGUCUCCAUCAUCCCCAUCCUCCUCAUCCCCAUGGUCUCCAUCCAUCCUCAUCCCCAUCCCCAUGGUCUCCAUCUCCAUUCCCCUCUCCAUCCCCAUCCCCACCAUCCCCACGGCCCCAUCUCCACCCCACUGCCUCCACCUCUUCUUCCAGGGCCUCCCAGGAGAGAGGGGUCUGGCCGGCCCCGAGGGGAAACCGGGCUUGCCAGGCUUCCCCGGCGUGCUGGGACGCCCGGGCAACCAGGGAGAGCCGGGACCACCAGGACCUCCGGUAAGGGUCCCCCCAGUGUCCCCAUUGUCCCCGUGCUGGGAUCGUGCUGUCCUGCCACCCCCUCCUCGUCCUGAGGAGCUGUGCCACCAGCGGGCACCACGAGGACGAAAUGUCCCCUUGUUCCCUGCAGGGCACCGCUGGCCCCCCGGGGACCCAGGGCCCAGCUGGGAUGAAGGUAAAUCAUCAUCAUCAUCAUCAUCACCAUCAUCAUCACCAUCACCAUAUUUGACCCCGCAGAGGAACGUGCGGUGCCCUGCAGGCACCAGGGGCUGUGGGGAAAAACGUGGGGCUGGUCCCCUGCUGGAGCCAGCCCCUGGGGGGCUCAGGGGACAUGGGGACGUGGUGGGGACGUGGUGGCAGGGCUGUUGGGGUGGUGGGACCGACGCGGGUGCUGUCUCCACAGGGCGACCCCGGGGAGCCUGGUGCCAGCAUCCGGGUGAGCCUCCACUCCCCCCUACCCGGUCCCUGACCCCAAAUCCCUUCCCAGGGGACAGCUGACGUCCCGGCGAGAUGUCCCAGCGU
rnacentral:lncRNA from 1 species